AUUGAACGCUGGCGGCAUGCCUUACACAUGCAAGUCGAACGGUAACAGGUAUUCGGAUGCUGACGAGUGGCGAACGGGUGAGUAAUACAUAGGAACGUGCCUAGUAGCUGGGGAUAACUACUCGAAAGAGUGGCUAAUACCGAAUUAGUACUACGGAAGAUAGCAGUGGAUCGCAGGACCUUGUGUUAAUAGAUCGGGUGAUGGCAGAUGAGGUAGGUGGUGGGAUAAGAGUUUACCAAGCCGACGAUCUGUAGCUGGUCUGAGAGGACGAUCAGCCACACUGGGACUGAGACACGGCCCAGACUCCUACGGGAGGCAGCAGUGGGGAAUUUUGGACAAUGGGCGCAAGCCUGAUCCAGCAAUGCCGCGUGCAGGAUGAAGGCCUUCGGGUUGUAAACUGCUUUUGUACGGAACGAAAAGCCCUGGGUUAAUACCCUGGGGUCAUGACGGUACCGUAAGAAUAAGCACCGGCUAACUACGUGCCAGCCGCCGCGGUAACAC
rnacentral:rRNA from 1 species